GACGAACGCUGGCGGCGUGCUUAACACAUGCAAGUCGAACGGAAAGGCCCUGCUUGCAGGGUACUCGAGUGGCGAACGGGUGAGUAACACGUGGGUGAUCUGCCCUGCACUUCGGGAUAAGCCUGGGAAACUGGGUCUAAUACCGGAUAGGAGCCAUUUUUAGUGUGAUGGUUGGAAAGUUUUUUCGGUGUAGGAUGAGCUCGCGGCCUAUCAGCUUGUUGGUGGGGUAAUGGCCUACCAAGGCGGCGACGGGUAGCCGGCCUGAGAGGGUGGACGGCCACAUUGGGACUGAGAUACGGCCCAGACUCCUACGGGAGGCAGCAGUGGGGAAUAUUGCACAAUGGGCGCAAGCCUGAUGCAGCGACGCCGCGUGGGGGAUGACGGCCUUCGGGUUGUAAACUCCUUUCGCUAGGGACGAAGCUUUUUGUGAUGGUACCUAGAUAAGAAGCACCGGCUAACUACGCG
rnacentral:rRNA from 1 species